UCUAACCCUAUUGGCGGCAAUCUGGUGGAUCGUCUGGACAGAAAGAAACAGCAUUAUCUUCAGAUCGAAUCAUCCUAACGCUACCCAAGCUUUCAAACGUGUCAAAAUCCUGUUGAACGCUUGGAUCGAGCUCCUUUGACUCGUCUACGUCUUGUCUUUCUUUCGCUUACUCCUCCUUUCCCCCUCUCCCCUUUCCUAUUUUUCCUCUUUUCCCUUAAGUUUUUUAUUACUGUUUUAUUACUGUUUUUUUUCUUACUUGUUUUAAGGAGGCCCUAGCUACUUCCACCCUGUACGCUUAGUUUAUUUUGCUUAAUUAAUAAAUGAAACAGGCAGCUCACUACCUCUUUCUCCAAAAAAAAAAAAAAGAAAAAGAUGUAAGGUGAAAUUUUAUAGGAGGGGAAUAUUUUACCAUCCUUUAACCUCCAACAAUGCAAAAUUAUAAAGCUAAGAGAAACUAAGUUACAGUUAAAAGAGGUCAAAGGGAAAAUAUUAAAAAAUAAGAGAAUUUUAAAUCUUCUUACAUCAUUCUUUUAUUUUCUCUGCGCCCUUACUUUUUUCUCAUUUUCUUUCUCUUCACUUUCUCUCUCACACUUUCUCUCUCCUUUCUUUCUCUUUCUUUAUUUUUUUCUCUACUUUCUCUCUAAUCUCUCCCUUCGCUUUAGCUCCUUUCACCUUCUCUCGUUAUCCCUUUAUCUCUCAUCACAUUCUUUCCUCUUAUUUAAAUUUCUCUCUCAUCACUUUCUCUCUCAUCCCUUUCUUUUUCAUUUCUCUUUUUUGUAUUCUCUAUUCACUUCUCUCUCCUCCCCUUUUCUCAUUUUCUCUUUUAUCUCUCCUUACUUUCAUUUUCUUUCUUCUCUCUCUCCUCAUUUUCAUUCAUGAUACAACCAAAUAUCAUUGAAGAAAAACUGUUUAUAGGAGUAAUGUUUACUC
rnacentral:lncRNA from 1 species